UUUCCAGGUAUCCAGCAGCAGUGCUCUCUGGCCAGGCUGGCUCUUCCAAAUCUCAUCCAUUACAAGACUUUCCCCAGGUUUCUGUUGUGCUUUUGGGAUUCUGUCAGUCCUAGGGAGAAUUAUCUUCAGAUUUAAAUUAUCUUCAGAUUUAAAUUAUCUUCAGAUUUAAAUUACCUUCAGAUUUAUAAUUUGGAAGAGACCAGGACCUGACCCCCCCAAGUUGUGCAGACCUGAGCCAGCAGCUGCUCUGUCUGGGUACAGAAUAUCAGACUUCAAUUCCCAAAUUCUGCUGAAUUCCUGCUGCAGGGAUUGCCAGGGAUCAGCCCAGUCCAGCACAUUAGAUAUUAACUAUUGCUCCUGCCAAUGAACAGUGUCAAGGCCAUGGGAUUGACAAAACACCAAAUGUUUAAUUGUGACAUUUGUCAUUCCAGCCUGGGAGCCCUUCUGGAUUUUUGUGGAAUGUUUGCUGCUAUUCAAAUAGUUGAGAAAUAAUAAUAUAGAGAAACUAAAUAUUAAAAACCUGCUGCAGAGAAGAAACCAUAACUUCCAUAAGGCUGUUCCUGUGGCUCUUUCAGAAGAAAUCAGCCUCCCACCAGUGAGCUCUGAACAUGAAAUGGUUCCAAACCUUCCCUCCCAUGUGAAGAAGGAUCCUCAAAAUUGGCUCAAGACUCAUUUUCUUCUCCUUCCCCAUCCCACCACGGCCCUACAAAAUCUCAAAUCUUUUUUUUUUUUUUUUUACAAAAGCUUAAAUCUUUGUGCAUUCCCAAAGAUGCCCAAGCAGCGUUACUUACACCCCAGGCACUUCUGGCUUUCCCUGUCGGGCGGGUGCUGGGACGUGCUGUGAGUGUCCUGUGUCCCCACGGGGCUGUGGCAGUGCCAGCCUGCUUUAAAUACUCCCUGCACCUUCAGCCCUGCAUUUCCACCUCUUGUGCCUUAAAGGAACAACAUCCAGCAGCGCUGCCAGGUGAGCUCUGCCCACGGCAAAGCCCAGCCAGUGCCCAGCCCAGCCCUGCUGUCCCUCCAGGUGUCCCCACCACAGCCACCCCAGCCUGGGGGGCUCCCAGGAAAACUCCAGGGCUCCUCUGCCUCCUUUGGGAAGGAGCUUGGUGGCUCUCUGUGGUCAAAUCCAUGGAGAGUCUUUUGGGUACCUCUGUGCCAGCUUUUUGUUUGGGCAGGACUGAGCAGCCAGGGCAGCUGUGAUUCCUUGCUUUGCCUCCUUUUAAUGAUGCAAAAGCAGGAAUUCCUUCUAACUGGGGGGUCACACGGAGCUUUCCUCGCCCACUCUGUGGAAACUGAUGUGUUUGAAGAGCAUGGCAGCUCCUGCAGUGCCUGAGAGCAGCAAGUCCUGACCCAGUACUGGGAUCUUCAACAGAUUUCUCACAUCCUAAAGCCAGCCUUGGAAAUGCCUUUUGUUUAGCUGAGAGUGUUGAGCUCCAUUUUUUCCAUGAAUGUGCAGCUUUUGGGGUGAGGAAGGAGCUCUUGGGGUGAGGAAGGAGCUUUUGGGGUGAGGAAGGAACUCUUGGGGUGAGGAAGGAGCUUUUGGGGUGAGGAAGGAGCUUUUGGGGUGAGGAAGGGUCUCUUGGGGUGAGAAAGGAGCUUUUGGCUGUCGCUGUGCUUGGUGGGGACCUUGGACCGAGCCACCACCACCUCUCCUCGAUGGGAACAAACCCCGAUCCCUCCCACCCUUCCCACCCUUCCCACCAUUCCAAACAUUCCCCAGGGAAUGCUGGCAUUGCUUUUUUGCCUCGUGGCCACGGAGCUGUGCUGGCUGGACCACAGUGGACACAGCUGUGUUUGCUCUCCUGGAGCUCCCACUCUCCCAGGCACGGAUCCCUCGGGAUCCCUUCCCUGCUGGGUCCUGCAGAGGGAUGGAAAUGUGGUUUUAAGACCUUGCAGAGGAAGGUGGGAUGGGCAGAGGAAAACCUGGCAGAAAUAUGGGAACCUUUAACUCCUGGUGCAUCUCAAGGAGGAAAAAUGAACCCAAGGCUAAUAAAUAGGGUUUUUUUAACCAAACCCCCCUUUUCACCCUCAGCAUUUCCAGUAAAUCCAAUCCAUGGCCUCAUGUAAAUAUAUUUGAAAUGUAUUUCCUUGCUUUAGCACAUGAGGAAGCGUUUCCCUGCCAAGCCACAGGUUCCAAAGCAUUUUGGCAUCUCCAGAAAACAAACAACCUUCGGAUUGCUUUUAUUUGGGGAGUGCAGAUUGCAGCAUGAGCCACGAUCUGAGUGUGAAACCAGCGCUGCUGCUCGGGGCUGGGCUGUGUUUCAAUUUGAGCUGCUUCUGAAGCUCUGGAUAUCCCUGCAGGAGAGGACCAGAAGACCCCUGUUGGCUCUGAGUGCACUGGAGUGAGAACAUGAAAUCACCAAAUUUCUGAGCCACUAUUCCACUAAUUUUUUAUUCAGUGGAGUCCUUCUCACUGAUAGAAAUUCCCACAGAUCAAAUACACUUUAAAUGAUGAUUUUUACAGGAGCUUUUCUCUAAAAAAGCACCAAAAAUCUGAGACUCUUCCAUAGAAGCUGGUCAUCCUGAUAUUUCCAAGGAUAACAGAGAUUGUCCUGCACAAUAGAACACAGAAGAAUGGCAUGGUUGCAACACAGUGAACAAUAAUUACUUCUGUGUAAUUCUGAUAAGUAAUCAGGAUUUACUGAAAGAGGCAGGAAGGGCAAUAACAGCUUUACUACUUGCAAUCAAAAAUUAUAAUCGACCCUACAAUAAAUAUAUAAACUUUAUGUAGGAUUUAAUCCAAGUCUUGUGAAAUCCAUGGUUUAACGUUCCUUGGUAAGGAAUAAAGGCAAGAGUUU